CCUACGGGGCGCAGCAGUGAGGAAUAUUGGUCAAUGGACGGAAGUCUGAACCAGCCAUGCCGCGUGCAGGAAGACGGCUCUAUGAGUUGUAAACUGCUUUUGUACAAGGGUAAACCUGAAUACGUGUAUUCAGCUGAAAGUACUGUACGAAUAAGGAUCGGCUAACUCCGUGCCAGCAGCCGCGGUAAUACGGAGGAUGCGAGCGUUAUCCGGAUUUAUUGGGUUUAAAGGGUGCGUAGGCGGGACGGUAAGUCAGCGGUAAAAAUGCGGAGCUCAACUCCGUCGAGCCGUUGAAACUGCCGUUU
rnacentral:rRNA from 1 species